GCGGAUAUGAUGUAAGGGUAGCCUCUCUCGUUGCCAACGAGAAUGUACGAGUUCGAAUCUCGUUAUCCGCUCCA
rnacentral:tRNA from 1 species